rnacentral:rRNA from 1 species
AUACGGAGGGUGCAAGCGUUGUUCGGAAUUACUGGGCGUAAAGCGCGCGUAGGUGGUCUGUUAUGUCAGAUGUGAAAGUCCACGGCUCAACCGUGGAAGUGCAUUUGAAACUGGCAGACUUGAGUACUGGAGGGGGUAGUGGAAUUCCCGGUGUAGAGGUGAAAUUCGUAGAUAUCGGGAGGAAUACCGGUGGCGAAGGCGACUACCUGGCCAGAUACUGACACUGAGGUGCGAAAGCGUGGGGAGCAAACAGGAUUAGAUACCCUAGUAGUCC